AUGCCACGUGCGCUAUCUGAUGUGUGGAGACAUUUUACACCAGCUAAUGUACAAGGGAAAUCUGUAUAUAUGUGUAAGUAUUGUGAUAAGACGUACAUGAAGAAUGCCACAAAAAUGCAGCAGCACAUUGCAAAGUGCAAAAAAAUUCCUCAAGGCCCAACACAUGCAGCAGCCAGGGGUUCCACUAAAGGGGAAAAUGAAUCUGUUUCAGCUGUAUCAGAGUCAGAUACCCACUCAUCAGCUCCUGGUCCCUCUGGCAUCAGAGGAUUCUUUGAUUUUAUGGAUGACACUAGCCAGAAAAACGCAGAUGAGUGUUUCGCUCGUGCAAUCUAUGCAACUGGCUCACCCCUGAUGCUGACAUCCAAUGUGUACUGGAAGAGAUUUUUGAAUGUUCUCCGACCAGCAUACACUCCCCCAACCAGACAUGCAUUGUCUACUCAUCUACUGGAUGAAGAGUUCAGUCGAGUUCAAGCAAAGGUGAAACAGACCAUUGACCAAGCUGACUGUAUUUCAGUCAUCUCUGAUGGAUGGUCCAAUAUCAGGGGACAAGGAAUUAUUAACUACAUAAUCACCACUCCUCAGCCUGUGUUCUACAAGAGUGUAGACACAAAGGAAAACAGACACACAGGCCAAUACAUUGCAGAUGAGCUAAAAGUGAUCAUCAAUGACCUUGGACCAGAUAAGGUUUUUGCACUGGUCACUGACAACACAGCCAACAUGAAGGUUGCCUGGGCACAUGUGGAGGAGACCUACCCUCAUAUAACUACUAUUGGCUGUGCUGCCCAUACACUAAAUCUUCUCCUAAAAGACAUAAUGGCACUAAAAACAAUGGACACUCUGAAUAAGAGAGCGAAGCAAGUUCUGAAAUAUGUUAAAGGCAAACAAGUAACUUCCGCUACAUUUCUGUCAAAGCAAAAGGAAAAGAACAAGAGUACUACACUGAAGCUUCCCAGCAUAACGCGAUGGGGUGGUGUUGUUAUCAUGUUUGACAGCCUUCUGGAGGGAAAGGAGUCUCUGCAAGAGAUGGCCAUAUCCCAGUCUGUAGGCAUCGACAGUGACAUCAAGAAGGUCAUCUUGGAUGAUGUGUUCUGGGAAAGAGUAUCUAGCAGUCAGAAAAUCCUCAAACCUAUUGCAGCAGCAAUAGCGAAGAUAGAGGGGGAUGGUGCCAUCUUGUCAGAUGUCCAGUGCCUUUUUGCAGAACUCAAAGAAGAAAUCCAGACAAUUCUGCCCACUUCCCUACUACUGAAAGCAGAGGAAACGGCUGUGGUCAAGUCAUUGGAACAGUGGAGGGAGUUCUGCAUGAAGCCAGUGCAUGCAGCAGCAUACAUGCUGGACCCCAAAUAUGACAAGGGCAUACUUUCUGGGGAAGAGAUCAACAGUGCCUAUGCGGUCAUUACAGCCAUGUCUGACCACCUGGGUCUCGAUAAAGGCAAAGUUCUAGGCAGUUUGGCAAAGUAUCGAACAAAGCAAGGCCUUUGGAAAGGGGAUGGAAUAUGGCAGUCAUGCCAGCACAUAUCUGCAGCCACCUGGUGGAAGGGACUAUGUGAAUCUGAGGCCCUUGCACCUGUAGCCUCCAUCCUCCUCCAAAUCCCACCAUCAUCAGCCGCCUCCGAGCGCAACUAG
ensembl:lncRNA